GUUGGCUUAGAAGCAGCCAUCAUUUAAAGAAAGCGUAAUAGCUCACUGGUCGAGUCGGCCUGCGCGGAAGAUGUAACGGGGCUAAACCAUGCACCGAAGCUGCGGCAGCGAACGUAUCACCCAAGACAACUUUACGGAGUUGACGAUUGACGGAGCGAAGCGACGUCAAAGCGUUCAUUAAAGUCGAGUUGGCUUAGGGAUACGUUCGUUGGGUAGGGGAGCGUUCUGUAAGCCUGUGAAGGUGUGUCGUGAGGCAUGCUGGAGGUAUCAGAAGUGCGAAUGCUGACAUAAGUAACGAUAAAGCGGGUGAAAAGCCCGCUCGCCGGAAGACCAAGGGUUCCUGUCCAACGUUAAUCGGGGCAGGGUGAGU
rnacentral:rRNA from 1 species